rnacentral:rRNA from 1 species
UACGUAGGGGGCAAGCGUUGUCCGGAUUCAUUGGGCGUAAAGAGCGUGUAGGCGGCCAGGUAGGUCGGUUGUGAAAACUGGAGGCUCAACCUUCAGACGUCGACCGAAACCAUCUGGCUAGAGUCCGGGAGAGGAGAGUGGAAUUCCUGGUGUAGCGGUGAAAUGCGCAGAUAUCAGGAAGAACACCCGUGGCGAAAGCGGCUCUCUGGAACGGUACUGACGCUGAGACGCGAAAGCGUGGGGGAGCGAAACAGG